UACGUAGGGUGCAAGCGUUAAUCGGAAUUACUGGGCGUAAAGGGCGCGUAGGCGGCCUACUAAGUCGGACGUGAAAUCCCUCGGCUCAACCGAGGAACUGCGUCCGAUACUGGCAGGCUGGAAUCCGGGAGAGGGAUGUGGAAUUCCAGGUGUAGCGGUGAAAUGCGUAGAUAUCUGGAGGAACACCGGUGGCGAAGGCGGCAUCCUGGACCGGUAUUGACGCUGAGGCGCGAAAAGCUAGGGGAGCAAACGGGG
rnacentral:rRNA from 1 species